rnacentral:rRNA from 1 species
CCAAUAGCGUAUAUUAAAGUUGUUGCAGUUAAAAAGCUCGUAGUUGAAUUUCGGGGUCAGUAGGCUGGUCGUGCCACAGGUAUGUACUGGUCUCACUGAUUCCUCCUUCCUGAUGAACCGUAAUGCCAUUAAUUUGGUGUUGCGGGGAAUCUGGACUGUUACUUUGAAAAAAUUAGAGUGUUUAAAGCAGGCUAACGCUUGAAUACAUUAGCAUGGAAUAAUGAAAUAGGACGAUCGAUCCUAUUUUGUUGGUUUCUAGGAUUGACGUAAUGAUUAAUAGGGAUAGUUGGGGGCAUUAGUAUUCAAUUGUCAGAGGUGAAAUUCUUGGAUUGAUUGAAGACUAACUACUGCGAAAGCAUUUGCCAAGGAUGUUUUCAUUAAUCAAGAACGAAAGUUAGGGGAUCGAAGACGAUCAGAUACCGUCGUAGUCUUAACCAUAAACUAUGCCGACUAGGGAUCGGAUGAUGUUAAUUUUUUAAUGACUCAUUCGGCGCCUUACG